rnacentral:rRNA from 1 species
CCCUUAGAUGUUCUGGGCCGCACGCGCGCUACACUGAUGCAUUCAACGAGCCUAUCCUUGACCGACAGGUCCGGGUAAUCUUUGAAUCUGCAUCGUGACGGGGAUAGAUUAUUGCAAUUAUUAAUCUUCAACGAGUAAUGCCUAGUAGGCGCAAGUCAUCAGCUUGCGUCGAUUACGUCCCUGCCCUUUGUACACACCGCCCGUCGCUCCUACCGAUUGGGUGUGCUGGUGAAAUGUUCGGAUCGGCCGUUUGUCGCGGUUUCCGCGGCUCGUGGCUGAGAAGUUCAUUAAACCCUCCCACCUAGAGGAAGGAGAAGUCGUAACA